GAUGAAGAACGCAGCGAAAUGCGAUACGUAGUGUGAAUUGCAGAAAUACGUGAACCAUCGAAUCUUUGAACGCAUAUUGCGCUCGAGGCUUCGGCCAAGAGCAUGUCUGCCUCAGCGUCGGGUUAAUACUCGCUCACUCCACACCACUGCGGAGCGCAGCGGACCUGGCUAUCCCAGCCCAACUCUGUUGGUGCUGGGUUGGCUGAAGAGAAGAGAUUGAUGCAAUGGACCCGUUAAGGGCCUCGGCUUUGGUAGUGCAACUCGUUGCUCAAUGCUAACAGCUGACGGCUUGGGACCGUGCCUGUCAAUCCAAACCAGGAAAAUAUUUAUUAACCAUUUUCUCGACCUGAGCUCAGGCAAGAACACCCGCUGAACUUAAGCAUAUCAAUAAGCGGAGGGA
rnacentral:misc_RNA from 1 species